AUUGAACGCUGGCGGCAGGCCUAACACAUGCAAGUCGAGCGGAUGAGGAAAGCUUGCUUUUCGAUUCAGCGGCGGACGGGUGAGUAAUGCCUAGGAAUCUGCCUGUUAGUGGGGGAUAACUCGGGGAAACUCGGGCUAAUACCGCAUACGUCCUACGGGAGAAAGUGGGGGAUCUUCGGACCUCACGCUAACAGAUGAGCCUAGGUCGGAUUAGCUAGUAGGUGAGGUAAUGGCUAACCUAGGCGACGAUCCGUAACUGGUCUGAGAGGAUGAUCAGUCACACUGGAACUGAGACACGGUCCAGACUCCUACGGGAGGCAGCAGUGGGGAAUAUUGGACAAUGGGCGAAAGCCUGAUCCAGCCAUGCCGCGUGUGUGAAGAAGGUCUUCGGAUUGUAAAGCACUUUAAGUUGGGAGGAAGGGUUGUAGAUUAAUACUCUGCAAUUUUGACGUUACUGACAGAAUAAGCACCGGCUAACUCUGUGCCAGCAGCCGCCGUAACAC
rnacentral:rRNA from 1 species